rnacentral:rRNA from 2 species
CCUGCCAGUAGUCAUAUGCUUGUCUCAAAGAUUAAGCCAUGCAUGUCUCAGUACAAGCCAAAUUAAGGUGAAACCGCGAAAGGCUCAUUAAAUCAGUUAUGGUUCCUUAGAUCGUACCCACAUUUACUUGGAUAACUGUGGUAAUUCUAGAGCUAAUACAUGCAAACAGAGCUCCGACCGGAGACGGAAGGAGUGCUUUUAUUAGAACAAAACCAAUCGGCGGCGUGUUCGUUCGCGUUCACGUUCGCCGCCCAACUUGGUGACUCUGAAUAACUUUACGCUGAUCGCACGGUCUUGCACCGGCGACGCAUCUUUCAAAUGUCUGCCUUAUCAACUGUCGAUGGUAGGUUCUGCGCCUACCAUGGUUGUAACGGGUAACGGGGAAUCAGGGUUCGAUUCCGGAGAGGGAGCCUGAGAAACGGCUACCACAUCCAAGGAAGGCAGCAGGCGCGCAAAUUACCCACUCCCGGCACGGGGAGGUAGUGACGAAAAAUAACGAUACGGGACUCAUCCGAGGCCCCGUAAUCGGAAUGAGUACACUUUAAAUCCUUUAACGAGGAUCAAUUGGAGGGCAAGUCUGGUGCCAGCAGCC